rnacentral:lncRNA from 1 species
UGUUCUGGGAAGUCCCCCUUUGUUUUGUAUGUAUGUGUAUGUGAGUGCACGUGAUACAAAUGGAUCUGAACAUCUGCAUUUAUUUAUUUAUUUAUUUAUUUUGAGUUCUUUCAGUUAAAUCACUGCAGUGCUUUUUCUUUAUACUCCUCAGAACUGGAAAAAGAGCUGAAUGUGUAUUAAUAUAUUUAUCCUCCUCCUCCCCACAAAAGGGAAGAGUAAAAGCUCAGAUAUCAUCUUUUAGUGCAUAGGAGAAUCUCUCCCCACUUCUGCUUUCCUAAGGUUGAGUUCCUAUUAGUGGGCUGAUGGCAGUGAAUGGCCUUUAAUGAGGAUGAUUCAGGUCAAAGGAAGUACAGCAUCUCCUAGUACCUGGGCAACUUGACCACUCUGUAUCGAAGGCUUUGGUCUCUACCCUUAAUUCUUUUGAAAGCAUGCCACAUCAGCAGGUUGGUGGGAGGCCUGAUUUUGUAAUUAGGGGAGAGAACGAGUCUCUCUGUCUUCUGGAGGGGUAUAAAUUUCUGAGGAAACCUAAGAAGAAUGACUGCCCUGAAAUCUGGGUGCCGGUCUGUGCCAUUGUGUCCUUUUCACAUUCUGCUGUGUUAUCUGGCUAGUGUGAGCGACUGCCCUGUAAUCAGGGUGCCAGUCACCUCCCACUAUCUUUGGAGGGGCAUUGAGCUCUCUCUUAAACUGAGCAAUGUGACGACCCUGUAACUAGGGUCAGAGUCUCUGCCCUCUUGCUCAUUUGGCUUUACGCCGUGCUCUGCCCCAUUAGUCAGCGUGACAACCCUGUAAUUAGGGUCUAUGUCACAAGUCUCUCUAGAAUGGGACGUAUCGAGCUCUUUGGUACUUUGACAGCUUGACCUUCCUGUAAUUCAGGUUAUGGUCUCUCCUAUUUGGCUAAUGCCAGCGACCACCCUGUAACAAGGGUACAGGUUGCAUCUCGCUUUUGAAAUCUGGGGGAUUAGAAUCAUUUCCGUUAUGUGGGCAGCUUGACCUCCCUGUAACUAGGGUUUGCGUCUCUGAGGCCCUUUGGGUCUCUUGGCCUCGUGCUGUCUUCACAGCCUGCUGCCAACGACCGCCCUGUAAUCAGGGAUCGGGUCUUUGCCCUCUAGUCUCUUGGCCAAAUGCAACCACUGCCCUGAAUGAGCACCCUGUAAACAGGGUACAGGUCUCAUCAGCUACUAUUUAUGGUGCCCCCAUGAGACUGUGUCCAGAGUUCCGGCCCUUCAAGCAGCGCUUCCAACUUGCCUGGAAUUCUGCAGACACGUCUCCCGCUUUCUACUCACUUCUUGUACUCUUGGAGACCUGACAU